UACCAAGCCAUUUGCAUUGUCACAGCAUCCAGCAAGGGAAUUAUUAAGUGUCGGCAAACAUUAAUCAUAUUUUUAAAUAAUCAAGCACCAUUCUGAGUGAAAGUAAGUCAUUAACGAUUCACCUCCUGCGCUCCAAGGAGUAGAGUCCAGGCCUACUAAACCUCUCCCUCUAGUCCUGGCAACAUCCUUGUAAAUUUUCUCUGUAGCCUUCAUAUAGAGAUGAAGGAAUAAGUAAUCAUUCUUUUGAAAAUUUAAAAAGAGAGAUUGUUAUUGCUUCAGUGAAGGGUGGAUGAAAUGUGAAUUGAGUCGUUGAAAUGCAAGGGAAUUUAAAGUUAGGAGCUUGAGGGCAUAUGAUAAGCAGCAGAAAACAUCAGUGUUAGGAGUGAAAUAAUUAAUUAUGUAUUUAUUCUAAAACCUUGUUCAUGGAUCUUUCACUGCUUUGCUUGUCAAGAACAACUGAAUGUGCCUCAUAAAUCAAUAGAAUAUAAGGCCCUUAAUCAUAAAAAAACUUAAUAUAUGCAGCAAGUAAGAAUGUCAUUGUUCUAUCAGGGACACCUGACAAUAAAACAUUCUCGGAGGUACACAAAAAUGCUGGAGAAACUCAGCAGGUGCAGCAGCAUCUAUGUAGCGAAGGAAAUAGGUGACGUUUUGGGCCGAAACCCUUCUUCAGAAUAAAACAUUCUCUCUCUCUUGACUAUAUGUGUAUUGAUUCAUUCAUUUUAUUGCACAUUUAAAAGCAUUCACUGGUUUUGCUCCAGGAAGUAGCUUGUCUGGAUAGUUCAAUCCAACUUACAAAGACUGUUGCCAGAUUCAAAUCAUGCUCACUCUCUGAAGAAAACAAGAAUGCAAUCUGUAUAACAUACAAUCAAUGCAAAGUUAAAGCAACUUCAAACUGAACUGACUGUUAUGCAAAACAGUUCAAUUUUCUGCUUUUUCCCCAUUUCACCAAGUUAUCCAUGUACCAUUCUAGCCAAGCUUGUUUCCUGCAUAUUGUAUCGUUGUGAGAAGCUAUUUUGCUGCAUAUUUCCGGUUUACUUUUAAACAGUAAAGCAAUGACGCAUACAAAAGUGUAUCUGAACCAACCAUUCUCUGCCACUUUGUGCAAUAUCUCACUUUCACCUUAAAUUGCUUCCCCUUUUGUACUUUCCUUAAAAUAAUUCUACUUACUCUCAUUUUAGCUGAUUCGACUAACUGCAAUUUAAUGAACAAUGCAUUUAUGACUUCUACCAAGAAUUAAUGCUGAUUGGAAACCAAAUUACUCCCAAACCACAGAUUGUUCAGCCAACUUAAAUUUAAACAAAAGCCCUUUGCAAACAGCUGGGCCAUUCUAUCAUGUGGAUUGCCAAUCUUCUGACCCAUAAAGGAGGGGGAAAAGCUUUUUUUUUUUUUUUUCAAUCAUUAACUACUUUUGUGAACAGUUAAAAUAGAAUUAGUGAAUGUGUCAUGGAUAAAGUAUCUUGCUAAAAAAUCAUUGUGGCUUUAAGAAAAAAUAAUUGAAAAAUGCCAGCAGAUGCAUUUGCUUUUGCUUGAAAGCUUCACUGACUUUAACAAUACAUCCCCUGGAAUGUACAAAAAACAAUAUGGUGCCCUAGAGGGUAUCAAGCAGUUUUUGAAGGAUUGGAGAAGGAAACAAGUGUUUUAUCAAAGCCAAUGAGAGGCUAACAGGUUGUGUUGCUGUAACUAUUGCCACAUGUGCUUGUAUUCUGUCUCAUCUCUUAUUUAGAAUUCAGGUGAUUGGUUGAUGAAAACUGCAAUAGAUAGAAAGUAAGAUAACAUGAACCGGAUCAGAAAGAAAAAAAAUGCUCAAAGACAUGGAUUUCAUGGUAAAUGGCCUCCUUGGAGAAAUGCAGCAGAGGAUGAAUAUUUUGGUUAAUAUGAGACAAAAGCAAAACAAAAAUGAAGAUGAGAAAUAAAAUUUAAAAAAAACACCAUGAAGGUAAUCACCGUGUGCUUAGGACUAAGCAGAUAAGCACAAAAGCAGAAGCUGAAAUUUGGUGAACUGGUUUAAAAAUAUUUGAGCAUAGAAUUUAAAAAAUCAUGUUUAAAAAUAGGAAGAAAUAAUCAAAAGUAAAAAGAUCAGGCGAUUGCACACAAAUAAAAAUUCAAGAUUUGAAACUAACAUAAAUCUAAGAAAUCAUUUUAACACAUCAAUUAAACACAAGUAGAAAUGAGCAAGCAUGAGGUUCAUAUUGAACUCAGAAAUAUAUUUUAAAAAUAAAGUACCUGGCUAAUUACUAGUGAUUCUUUAUCGGAUAUUGUUUCCUUUUUAUUACUUAUCUAUCGAAAGUAUCCAAAGGGAAACAUAUAUAGAAAUUAAGAGCAUUAGUCUUGCCAUUCACGUGCUGGCUCUGGAGAGGGCCCAGAUGAGGUUUACAAGAAUGAGUGUGUUAACAUAUGAUGAUCAUUUGACAGCACUGGGCCUGUACUCGCUUGAGUUCAGAAGGAUGAGGGGAAAACAUAAUUGAAACUUACCAAAUAGUGAAAGGCUUGGAUAGAGUGGAUGUGGAAAGGAUGUUUCCACUAAUGGGAGAGUCUAGGACUAGAGGUCAUUUUCUCAGAAUUAAAAGACAUUCCUUUAGGAAGGAGAUGAAGAUUUCUUUAGACAGAGGGAAAUGAAUCUGUGGAAUUCUUUGCCACAGAAGGCUGUGGAGACCAAGUCAAUAGAUAUUUUUAAGACAGAGACAGAUAUGAGAAUAUGUAGAAUUCAGGAUAUUUUAGGACUAAGGUUUAAGUAUUCUAAGUUAAGUUUUUUAAUUUAUUUAUUUUUACAUAAUUUAGUUGUUUCAUUAUCCUUGCUGCGACAUAAUUUUUCCUGGAAAACAUGUGAUGUUUAUGUGAUGUUUAAUGCUAUUGUAAUUGGCUAAGAUGUAUUAUGCUGUGUACGAUUGUAAUUGGGUAGAAAGAUUGUCCCCACCUAUAUAACCAGGUGAUACUGUAGUUAUUGGUCUAGAAUCACCACCCUUUGUAAAUUACCUCCCACUGUGUCAACCAUAUAUUUAUGCUAAUUCCUUUGUUUGAGCACAUGUGUUUCUCUGUGGUCCACCAGGAGAGUUUCCCAGGGCAGUACAGAGAAACCUGGUGACCAUGGUGAAAUAAAGGAUGAUUUAAAGUAUUAUAGUCAGCGCUUUCACUGAACGGACUAAGGGAUAUAAAUACCGGAAUUAUAAUUUGGGGGCUUGUCCGGGAUCUCAGGGGAGGCCCUCGCAGGUUUGCGGUAAAAGGGUUGAGUUGUAGGGUCAUGGAAUCUAGGAAUUUGGCCCCCGAUGAGUGAAUUUACUCCAUCGGUUUUCCUCCGAUUCGCUAAUCCAGCUGCUCGGCAAUUCGCUGGCCUUUGAGAGGCUUCCCGAAGAGACUGAGGAGAAGCUUCUAGAGGAAGCGAACAGAACUUGAAUAAUACAACAUUUACCCUGGAAUCCAAACAAACCGGCCAGACGCUUAACACUUUUACCAAUCAACAAAUGGCAGGGAAUUGACUUUCCAGUCCUUCAGCGCCAAUCAAUACAUAUCAUAUAUGAAUUCUAUAUCUGAAUUUUUCAGUCACAUGCCUGGACCUGAACAUUUACAAUUAUCACAGCGGGACAAUUUACAGAAGCCAAUUAGCCUUUGGAAUGUGAGAGUAAACCGGAGCAUCCAGAGAAAACCCACACGGUCUUCGGGAGAAUGUGCAAAUUCUAUACAGACAGCACCAAUAGUCAGGAUCGAUAUUGGAUCUCAGGCGCUGUAGGGCAGCAACUCUACCGCUGUACCACUGUGCCACCCUAUUCAAUGACACUGUUCCAAGAGCACACCAAGGAGGAGAAUUCAAAACAAUCACAACCCUCUCAGAGAAAUGCCUAAAAAGGGAGAAUGCCCAUAUCUUGAAACUAUGACUCUUGGUCAAAUGCCCCCACUGGGAAAAAUUUCUCUCAGUAUUCACCCUGACACUUCUCCUUAAAAAAUAAUUGUAUUGAAUGUCGUGCCACAAAGUUGUUCCGUGUGAUUACGGUUUGAAAAUUGGCUACUUUACUUCCUACAUCAUGACUGUAAUUAUGCAUCUGAAUAUUUCAUUCUUAACUAAACACUUUGAGAGGUCAUGAAAUCAUAAAGGCUGCAUAAUUGUUAGCUAGUAUGCAAUUUUUUCACCAUUCAGAACUAUCAAACCAUUGCAAGUUUCCCAAAUUGACUGAACAUGGAAGAGCGCAGAGACUGAAAUCCUCAAGGAGUAUUUUGGACCUUGCUAUGCUUGCCUGCUUUUCUGCUGAAAGAAGGAAUGUAGAAGCAUGAGCUCUGUGGGGAAAAGGGGGUAUGGUGGAACAUCUGGAGUUACAAUCAAAAACAGUUUUGUUUAAUUGCGCAGUGAACUUUCAGUCAGUUUGAUAAUUAAUUGGCAUGGAAAGCAGCAAUGUGGGAAAUGUUUAACAACUAUAUAUUGUGAAAAAAAAGAUUGCUUUGUUAAAUAGUUAACUGGCCAACAGUGUUAUUUUAUAUUUCGAGUUGUAGGAAUCAUCUUCUACAUAAUUACAGACUGAAAAUUUAAUUGGAUUUGAUCUAUUUCAGUCUCAAUAAACAGAAUCAGGAUUACAAUUCUUUGUUAAAGUAUGAAGUAUGUGCAAAACUGUAUUUGUGAAUGUUCAUUGGGGAACCUCCUCAAUCAGCUAGGAUGUUAAUAAUAUAACAGACUGCCAUGGCAUGAAAAAUUGAAUGAUUUCUUACUACAGGCUCAAAAUAGUAUGUAUAUUCAUGUCAUUUAGCUAUGAUUUUUUUUUUUAAAAGAGAACCAUUUAUUUUAAUAUAUUAAUCAGCUUUUUAAUCUUUCUAUCCCUUUUCCGAUCUAGGAUAUCUAUUGUUAUCAAAAGAUAGAAGCAGGAGUUUAAGAUUUGUCUUAAUUUACAAACCAGAAUUAUUUCUUAGAAUAUGGUCUCCAUUUAUUGCAUUUUUGAAAAAGUGAAUUGGUUUAACACAAAAUCAGAGUUGAAACCUGAGUUUGGGAUUGGAUGAAUAAUUAUACUCAACAUUUCCUGGAUCUACUCCACAAUCUUGUUAUUGGUAGUUUCCUUUUGCGCCUCCUUUUCCUCUCUAUUAGUUUCUCUCAUCUUUUUCUCUCUUUAUUCUUUAAAAUAUAUAUUUUUUAAACUGAAGCUAUGUAAGAAAUCUGUAAUUAAAUUGUCGCUUACUA